rnacentral:tRNA from 1 species
CGAUGCGUGGCUGACCGGAAAGCAACUGCCUCUUAAGCAGCGAAAUGCUGGUUCGAAUCCAGCCGCAUCGA